ensembl:lncRNA
UUUAAUCUUUAAAAGGAACACCUGUACCCAUGCUCAUUCAUGCAGUUAUCUAAUCAGCCAAUCAUAUGGCAGCAGCACAAUGCAUGAAAUCAUGCACAUGCAGGUCAAGAGCUUCAGUUAAUGUUCACAUCAAACAUCUGAAUGAGGAAAAUAAGUGACCUCAGUGACUUUGACUCUAGCAUGGUUGUUGGUGCCAGACAGGCUGGUUUUAGUAUUUCAGAAACUGCUGAGCUCCUGGGAUUAUCACACACACACACACACACACACACACACACACACACACACACACACACACACACACAACAAUCAUUGUUAUUUACAGAAAUGUGUGACAAACAAAAAUCCAGUGAGCAGCAGUUCUGUGAGCAGAAAUGCUUUGUUGAUGCGAGUGGUUAGAGGAGAUGGGUUCAAGCUAACAGGACCUUUACAGUAACUCAAAUAACUAUGCUUUACAACCAUGCCCUCAGGCCAUCCUCUGAGAGAACAUCGAGUCCUCUAGGCAGAUGGUGCUCGCUAUACAUCAAACCAUCCUUUGCCUUUUAGCCUUAAGCUCUUACCGAUCAGGCUGCAUGAGUGUCUGAAAGUUAGAAUAUGUGGAGAAAGAAAAUCCCAGAACACACUACAUGCUUAACCAUGAGGUGGAUGGGCUACAGCAGCAGCAGACCACGUUGGCUUUCACUCCUGUCAGCUAAGAACAGGAAUUUGAGGCUACAGGCACAGACUCACCAUAACUGGACAGCUGAACAUUGAAAAAAGCACUAGGGGAUAUACAAUUAUCUCAAUUUCACAGGAAAACUGUGGAUGUGGCAACACUGAAGCUAAUAUUGUUCCAUUAGGGAAAAAAGGUAUUAACUGCUACUUUUGUAUGACAGCUUAAAGCACUUAAAAUCCAACAGGAAGUGGAUAAAUAUUUACAUUUUGGGGUGUUCCUUGGCAGCUAAAAAGAUCAUUUUAUUCCAUGUUUAAUCUAUUGAAAAAAAAUGACAACAAAACAAACAGUUACUCAAGUUGGAGUAUUACUCAACACUAGCUAAUACUUCCUUUAGCUUUAGAAGAACAGAAUAUAAGGUUAUUUUCUUGCAUUCCUUGUUUGCAAUUAGUGUCAGCCCAAUACCUGGACUGUAUCAAGGGUCGUGCUGUGAUGAAGAGACCAUACUACUUGUUUUUUGUGUGUUUAAAUAUCUAUGUUAGUAUUGUCUCAAAGGUGUUUGAGAGUAAUGCUGGGUGAUUAAUAUGGACUCAAAGAGCAAGUUAGCUAAGCUGUAGAUUAAAAUGAAAUGUGUGCACUUUAACUAAAGUGUCCUGGGCAGCUAGUUAAGCUAACUUUGUGCUUGAUAGUCUGCUAACAAUUUGGUCAGCUGUUUACUGUGUUUAGGCACUUAAAUACUAAAAGGGCACAGUAUGAAACUGUUUGUCAAGCUGUUGAUCAAAUCUUGCCUUGUUGUGACUUUGUAGGCUUUGGUUAUGUUGAUUUAUCUGUCUUGCUAAGAUUACAGAGUAAUGCUCUCAAGGAUGCUAGCUAUUAGAUAACGAUGUUUGGCUUUAAAGUUGCCAGCUUGAUUUUUAGUAACAUUAACCUGUCUGGCUUGCAAAAUAUUCAUUCCUCAAAAUCUCUUCUAAAGAGCUUCAGACCGUCAAGUCAGCUUUGUUAGCACAAAGGCUAAAAUAUAAGUCUCUUUCUAUAUUUAGUUGAUUAUGAUUGCAGGUUAAAUGGACACUAGACAGUUAAAAAAACAAAACAGAACAUGGUAAACAUGCAUAUUGUAUGCUCGCAGUUUAAGUGCUCAUUUAGGGAUUGUGCUGGGUUUGUGAGCAUGACCUCUGUUUCAUAUGAUCCCAGCUGCGUUUCCUGACCUCUGUGUGUAGUGACAAAAGCCAGUCUGUUUCAAUACAGUCCAGUUUCUGUCCUCUCAGGGUUCUCUGGCCUUUCAGCUGCUGCUGAGCCACUCUUUUCUCUCACUCAGUCGCUUUAUUUACUCAUUGCUCAUUAUCCAUUCAUCCACUGGCUAGCUGUUGGUCUGGUUUGCACAGUUUACAGGAUCCUCCUGCAGUCUCCAUUUUCAGUCUUUCUGAUUCUUUGUCUGAUGGUCACACAGAUCAGAAAAGCUCCCCACGCCUUUACAGCACCACUCUUUUCAAAAGUAAACUUCACCACACGUAUCCUCCUCUGUGAGCUUUUCACCAAGACAACAAAGCCAGUUCAAGUGCAACACCACAACUUUUUUCUUUUUUUCUUUUUUUUGCCUAACACUUACAAUAACUUAACAAUGUAUCUGGAACAACAAUCAUAACAGCUCAGUGUUUUAAUCCCAAGGCUAAGCAGGAAAAGCUGUGCAACAUGCAGAAACAUCCAGCUGAGACAAACAAUGGACUACAGCAAGACUGAAACAUUCACAAUGUUCAAGACAACAUACCAAAAAAAAAAAAAAGACUGAAAGGACUUUUGUUUUGUCUAACAAAAACAAAACAAAGAAAAGUAAUGCUAAGAGGAGUAAUAACUUCAUACAUUUUUUUGCUAAGAGAAACGAAAGCAAAGACAUACUCACAUCCAGAAUGAAAGGCACAGAGUCAACAGGAGUUAGUUUGUGUAGUGGAAUAGUAUAAGUGUGUGUGUUUC